GACGAACGCUGGCGGCGUGCUUAACACAUGCAAGUCGAACGGAAAGGCCCUGCUUUUGUGGGGUGCUCGAGUGGCGAACGGGUGAGUAACACGUGAGUAACCUGCCCUUGUCUUUGGGAUAACUUCAGGAAACUGGGGCUAAUACAGGAUAGAAGCUUCUGCUCCAUGGUGGGGGUUGGAAAGUUUCGGCGGUUGGGGAUGGACUCGCGGCUUAUCAGCUUGUUGGUGGGGUAGUGGCUUACCAAGGCUUUGACGGGUAGCCGGCCUGAGAGGUUGACCGGCCACAUUGGUACUGAGAUACGGCCCAGACUACUAUGGGAGGCAGCAGUGGGGAAUAUUGCACAAUGGGCGGAAGCCUGAUGCAGCAGCGCCGCGUGCGGGAUAACGUCCUUCGGGUUGUAAACCGCUUUCGCCUGUAACGAGGCGUGAGUGACGGUAAUGGGUAAAGAAGCACCGGCUAACUACGUG
rnacentral:rRNA from 1 species